UACGGAGGGGGCUAGCGUUGCUCGGAAUUACUGGGCGUAAAGCGUGCGUAGGCGGAUUUGCAAGUCGGGGGUGAAAUCCCGAGGCUCAACCUCGGAACUGCCCUCGAUACUGCAAAUCUCGAGUCCGAGAGAGGUGAGUGGAAUUCCUAGUGUAGAGGUGAAAUUCGUAGAUAUUAGGAAGAGCACCAGUGGCGAAGGCGGCUCACUGGCUCGGUACUGACGCUGAGGCGCGAAAGCGUGGGGAGCAAACAGG
rnacentral:rRNA from 1 species